UAAGGAAUAUUGGUCAAUGGACGCAAGUCUGAACCAGCCAUGCCGCGUGAAGGAUGAGGGUCCUCUGGAUUGUAAACUUCUUUUAUCUGGGACGAAAACGGGAUUUUUAUCUCAAUUGACGGUACCAGAGGAAUAAGCACCGGCUAACUCCGUGCCAGCAGCCGCGGUAAUACGGAGGGUGCGAGCGUUAUCCGGAUUUACUGGGUUUAAAGGGUGCGUAGGUGGGCUUAUAAGUCAGUGGUGAAAUCUCCGAGCUUAACUUGGAAACUGCCGUUGAUACUAUAGGUCUUGAAUUAUCUGGAGGUAAGCGGAAUAUGUCAGGUAGCGGUGAAAUGCUUAGAUAUGACAUAGAACACCAAUUGCGAAGGCAGCUUACUACAUAUAAAUUGACGCUGAGGCACGAAAGCGUGGGGAUCAAACA
rnacentral:rRNA from 1 species